UACGAAGGGAGCUAGCGUUGUUCGGAAUCACUGGGCGUAAAGCGCACGUAGGCGGAUGUGUCAGUCAGGGGUGAAAUCCCGGAGCUCAACUUCGGAACUGCCCUUGAUACAGCACGUCUUGAGUCCGGAAGAGGUGGGUGGAAUUCCUAGUGUAGAGGUGAAAUUCGUAGAUAUUAGGAAGAACACCAGAGGCGAAAGCGGCGUCCUGGGGUGAGGUUGACGCUCAGACACGAAAGCAUGGGGAGCGAACGGG
rnacentral:rRNA from 1 species